GGGACGCGGGCGGCGGGCGGCGGCUCGGGGGCUCGCGGGCUCGCGGGGCUCCCCGGCGGGGCUCUCCUCCGCCCUCUCUGCCCGAAGCCUAUAAAAUGUUGGAAGGAAAGGGGGCAGUCAGGAAAGAUCUCCCGCGUGGAGAUCCCUCCCUCGCCCUCUUCCUCCUCUCCGUCUGUCCCUCGCGCUCCCCUCUGCUCUCUCCUUCCUCUAUCUCUGCCUCUAUCUCUCUCCUCCCCCUCUCCCUCUCCCUCUCCCUCUCCGCCCGGGAUCAAGCCAAAGCCUCGGAGAUUCCAUGACACCAGAACCCCGCGUCUGUCAGCCUGUCAACAUUCCCGCAGCAAGCGCACCAGCGCCGAAGCCCUGAUUGAUCCCAUAUGUCUGGCAGGAGCUGCAGAGGAAUUCGCUGGAGAUGGAUCCAGAUACCGAGAGUGCCACAGUAAUUGGAAACACUUUGUAGAGGAAAACACACACAGGCUGGCCAGCCAGGGGAAAGCAUCCUUUGAAAGCCGCUUGCUCACCUUUUUGGGUCUCCUUUUCGGUGCCCCACAACCCUCUCCACAUGCAUGUUUAUUUGCCUUUCCAGGUGGGGAUUUCUGAUGCGUGCUGUGUGGUGAGUGUGUAGACUCUGGAGGGCCCCCUCAGGCCACACCAUGCGGGGAUUGCAGCUACCCCUCCCGCAGCAGCGCACGGGGAUUUGUCCUGCUGCUUCACCCCUGCGUUCAAUUCUUUUGUUCGUUUGCUCCUUCAUUCAUUCAACAAAUAGCUUUGAGCACCUAUUAUGUGCCAGGACACCAGGAGUAUAAUGAGGAGCAGAAAUCCGCAUGGAUCUUGUCCCCAGGGAACUUACAGGGUAACAAGUGAGAUGGUCUAUUAGCCGGAUACUCCACCGAGGUAUUUAUUGGCCAUCGAUCAUAUGCCAGAAUGUUCGAUACUAGGUUUUAAAGUUGAAUAAGACUCAGAUCCAGUCCUCCAGAAGUUCAAAGGAUAUCAGAAGACAAUAUAAUUGGCAAACACUGACAAAGCAGUAAGACGACUGCAGGAAUGGAGAAUGGGGAACAGGAAGGAGAAAGGUCAAAAUCCUCCUGGGGAAUGAAUGAGCAAGACCUCAUUUGAGCUGAGACUUUAAAAAAAAAAAAAAAAGUUUUUCCAAAUUGUA